UUUGCGGCCGCUGUACCGUGGUGAGCUGAGUGAUAAGAGGCUUUGAAGAAUUUGAAUGGAGCACAACCCCACUGUCUGUGUCCUGGCAUCGUCGCGGCAUCUCUGUUGUCUACAUUCCUGGAGGUUCGUGGGCUGCCGCCGCUGCCUCCUCCUCGACCCUCAUUAGGAAGAGCAUGAGGUGCCGCCAAACUGCGACAGACGGCGAGCAUGAGCCACCAGCACACCACACCAUAGGGUAUAUUGUUUUCACAAUUUUAUUUAGCUUUACCACAAGUAAAAACUGGAUAUACAAAAGCAUUGUAAUGUAAAAUUUUAGUCUAGAGAAGCAGUUUUUCUUACAUGUACUGUCAGCUCCUAUUUUUAUGUCCAGUUAAUUAAUCAUCAACAUUAAACACUAAUUAUAUUUUUCAUGGGAUCCUUCCAGUUGACCAAUGUAUGCAUGCUUAAAAUGUUGUUAGCUUUGGGUACAUGGAAAUGGAAGCUUGAGAUAUGAGCUUAAUAUAACCAUUCGCAUCAAGAAUUUUCUCCCUAAAGCUAGCAAUUUCAACGUGGUUGUCAGUAACCACUUCUGUUUGAUUAUGAAUAUGGUUCACUACGUUCAGAAAUAACUCCUGGAUUGUAGGUGUGAAUAUUACAUAUCUGUUUAUAUAUCUGUUUUCCUUAAUUUUCAUUUAAUGACGUAUACUGAAUGGAGUUUGCAGUCCAAAGAAACAUUGAGCAGUUGCCGUUGCAACUGCUACUCUGAUUUGUUUACCAUUCUUGUGAGGAUUCACCAUAUUAAUAGGGAAAGGGUUGCUUUCAUUGUUUUCUUUUACGGUAAUGCUAUCUUAGUUCAUCUAAAAAAAAGCUUUCUUAGUUUCUAAAUUUUCAUAAUUUGUUGUGAAUAAUAAACAGAGUGCUUUAUCAGAGUGUGCUAAUAUCCCGUUCAUGACCUCUCCCAAGUUCCAAUUGUUUUUAAUUCAGUCAUUGCCCCGCUAACACUGUUAUUUUUUGUGGUGUAUUUUGCUUCAGUUAUUUUUACUUAUCCUACUACCAUAUUAUGUGGUGGGUUUUGCUUCGGUCAUUGCCCCGCUAACAUGUAAAACUGACUUUUGCUUUAUAGAGAAUAUCAGGUUUCAAUGAUUCAGAGAACAUGUGUUGACUGGUUACCUUCAUUUUACUCUGGAACAAUAUUCAGUGGAAAAAAACGCAUGUGUUUUUUCUAUUUAAAUGAGUGCUAUUGUGUAAAUGCUUAUGCUAAAUAAGAUGACCAGUUUGGAUGAUAUUUUUUUACCAAUUUGGAUGAUAUCUUCUAGAUGCUCUUACUCUGAUGAAGCGAGUGCUACUCUAAAUGUCUAGGUACUCUUAUUGCUUCUGAAGCAUUAGUGGAUAGAAUUGGUGCAAGUUUUUAUAAAGAUUCUUCUGCUUUAGGUUAUAUUUUAACUACCUUGAACAGAUAGGUUUUAAGAUGUGUAAAUGCCAUGCACUGGUUUAAGGAUCAGGUCCAACUUGCAAGUGGUUAUGUGCCAUCCUUGUGUCUUUUAAAAAUUCCACUUCGCAUCACGUUUGGUUAAGCUCAAGCCUAUUUCACCUGGAAGGUGCACUCUACUACUACUACAGUUAGUUAGGAUCUUUCUAUCGAUGUUUGUGCUAUGGAGUUGACAAAAAAACUUUUCUUUUUCUGGCAAAACUGUAUGCAGUGAGUUAAGAUAAAAACACAACCGCAUGCUACCCUGCAGAAGUUAGUUAACCAAAAUCUCAUGAAUGAAAAAUCUGUCUUUGUUUUUGUCUGGAGAAGUUGCAUGCCAUAUUAAUUUUCAGAGGAGUGGGUACCGAUUCCCAACGUAUUUCAUAAACGAUGGAGGGUUUUAGAUUUAUUCUUCAGUGGAAUUUUCAGAAGUAUUUUACUGUGUAAGGCCUAGCAUGUUAUUAAUUUUCAGAAGUAUUUUUUGGUCGAACAGAGAGAAUGACUGCUUUUUCUUAUCCACAUUUUUGCCUCGCGCAAUAUAUUUUCAUGCUCCUUGUUUGUUUGCUUAGUUGCCUGACGUGAAAUUUGUGAAGAUUGUUCUCAGGGACUUUUUAACAUUAUUGCCUCUUUCCUAAGUUGAUCAAGUGGAUCAAUGACAAAUGUUCAUGCCAAAUAGGGACCCGAGUUCCCCAUCAAUCUAUAAGGCUGUGGGUCAAGGGUCAUCAUGGAUUUAUGUCUGUUUAAAAAAAAUAAGGAAUAGGCUACAAUUGCAAGUCUGCUGUCAUCUUUGAAAAGAAUUCUUUCUUGACAAUAAAGCAUUCUUUUGUGUAUGCCAGACCACUUAAAGAGAAUAUGUUAAGGAAAAAAAAACUAGAAUCAAUCACUAUGAUCUCAUACGAGGUAGUUUGAAAUUUGAGGCAAGCAAUGGCCCGGUUUGCAAUCCCUGUGAUGCCGAAACACUUUAUAGUGUUUUAGGUAGUCAUUGUUACUGAAUUGGAAACACUUCCUUAUUUAAUUUUAGUAUUUGAUUAUGCUUCUAACGUAUGGGCAAGAGGUGGGUGUUGCCUGGUGGAACCUUGCUCUGGUCGCCUUGUGUUUUGGCAUCAAAGCACCAUUAUUAUGCCUAGGCUUACAUGGGGAUCCAAGGCCCCAACCUGCUGCUAAGCUCUUCUUUCCAAUAACAGGUUAUGAGUGACUCUUAAUAGGAACUGCCACCACUGCACCUUGCUGAAAAACAAUCCCAAUGGAGGAGAUUCAAGCGACCAAGGUGAAGCUACGGAGGAAGAAGGGCACGAAGAUCAUAUUUCUGGAGAAAGGCAGUGAGCAGCUAGAUAUAACCCUGCCAGACCUGGUAUUCAACAUCGGAGAGAAGCCACACCCAUUGUUCACCCAAGAUCACUGUACUUGAUAUCUUCAGCGAUGAAUAUAUGAUCAUUUACUGAUUUGUCGAACUACUAUUACACUCAUGGGAUCAUUGCAGAUUAUAGUUAUUCCAUUAGAGCAGAGCACAUUGCACGGCCAAGUGGCUACUGUUAGUUCAUUUCUCUUUGUUCAUUAUUCAGCUAUGUAAUUAGUGUAAUGUGAUACUGAUCAAAGUGAUAGGUUACUUUCCAAAUUAUUAAUUCAGCUUUGUGCAAAUGUCCUUAGAAUACAUUCA